rnacentral:sRNA from 1 species
AAAAAUCAUGUCAUGAUAAUGCUAGUAAAAGCAAUACGAAACUUUUUUCUUACAUAAAAGGAUAAAAUUAAAGAGGAAACAAAUUAAUUGUCGAAACCUCAAAAGUGCUAAAUUCGUUUCAAAUCAUCCAAUUUUUAGAAUCGAAUAGCAGUUUUAGGUUUGAUAUACCACGAAGAACUAUUUGAAGUAGUAAACGUUUAGAAAACAACCAGGCGAAAAAUCAGAAUAAGAGUUACAAUAAAUUCAAUGGCUAAAAUUAUGCAAAUUCUGUUGAAGACAGGGCGCAGAAAUCAAGUAUUCCAAUCUUUUAAGAACAUUUUUGACAUGUUAAUGGCUUAAUUUUUAAGUAAUAUAUAGGUCUUCUAUUAAUUUAAGAUAUUUUUUAUGUAAAUCCUUUAUCAAAUCAAUAAAAAUUAGUUAAAACCCA